rnacentral:rRNA from 1 species
UACGUAGGGUCCGAGCGUUGUCCGGAAUUACUGGGCGUAAAGAGCUCGUAGGUGGUUUGUCGCGUUGUUCGUGAAAACUCACAGCUCAACUGUGGGCGUGCGGGCGAUACGGGCAGACUUGAGUACUGCAGGGGAGACUGGAAUUCCUGGUGUAGCGGUGGAAUGCGCAGAUAUCAGGAAGAACACCGGUGGCGAAGGCGGGUCUCUGGGCAGUAACUGACGCUGAGGAGCGAAAGCGUGGGGAGCGAACAGG